rnacentral:snRNA from 1 species
AGAUCAUUUGAACUCAGGAGACGGAGGUUGCAGUGAGCCAAGAUCGCACCACUGCACUCCAGCCUGGGCGACAGUG